CACUAUCGUUAACUGAAUACAUAGGUUAACGAGGCGAACCGGGGGAACUGAAACAUCUAAGUACCCCGAGGAAAAGAAAUCAACCGAGAUUCCCCCAGUAGCGGCGAGCGAACGGGGAGCAGCCCAGAGUCUGAAUCAGCUUGUGUGUUAGUGGAACGGUCUGGAAAGUCCGACGGUACAGGGUGAUAGUCCCGUACACCAAAAUGCACAGGCUGUGAACUCGAAGAGUAGGGCGGGACACGUGGUAUCCUGUCUGAAUAUGGGGGGACCAUCCUCCAAGGCUAAAUACUCCUGACUGACCGAUAGUGAACCAGUACCGUGAGGGAAAGGCGAAAAGAACCCCGGCGAGGGGAGUGAAAAAGAACCUGAAACCGUGUACGUACAAGCAGUGGGAGCACCUUCGGGUGUGACUGCGUACCUUUUGUAUAAUGGGUCAGCGACUUAUAUUCUGUAGCAAGGUUAACCGUAUAGGGGAGCCGCAGGGAAACCGAGUCUUAACUGGGCGUUAAGUUGCAGGGUAUAGACCCGAAACCCGGUGAUCUAGCCAUGGGCAGGUUGAAGGUUGGGUAACACUAACUGGAGGACCGAACCGACUAAUGUUGAAAAAUUAGCGGAUGACUUGUGGCUGGGGGUGAAAGGCCAAUCAAACCGGGAGAUAGCUGGUUCUCCCCGAAAGCUAUUUAGGUAGCGCCUCGUGAACUCAUCUUCGGGGGUAGAGCACUGUUUCGGCUAGGGGGUCAUCCCGACUUACCAACCCGAUGCAAACUACGAAUACCGAAGAAUGUUAUCACGGGAGACACACGGCGGGUGCUAACGUCCGUCGUGAAGAGGGAAACAACCCAGACCGCCAGCUAAGGUCCCAAAGUCAUGGUUAAGUGGGAAACGAUGUGGGAAGGCACAGACAGCCAGGAUGUUGGCUUAGAAGCAGCCAUCAUUUAAAGAAAGCGUAAUAGCUCACUGGUCGAGUCGGCCUGCGCGGAAGAUGUAACGGGGCUAAACCAUGCACCGAAGCUGCGGCAGCGACACUAUGUGUUGUUGGGUAGGGGAGCGUUCUGUAAGCCUGCGAAGGUGACCUGUGAGGGUUGCUGGAGGUAUCAGAAGUGCGAAUGCUGACAUAAGUAACGAUAAAGCGGGUGAAAAGCCCGCUCGCCGGAAGACCAAGGGUUCCUGUCCAACGUUAAUCGGGGCAGGGUGAGUCGACCCCUAAGGCGAGGCCGAAAGGCGUAGUCGAUGGGAAACAGGUUAAUAUUCCUGUACUUGGUGUUACUGCGAAGGGGGGACGGAGAAGGCUAUGUUAGCCGGGCGACGGUUGUCCCGGUUUAAGCAUGUAGGCUGGUUAUCCAGGCAAAUCCGGAUAAUCAAGGCUGAGGUGUGAUGACGAGGCACUACGGUGCUGAAGUAACAAAUGCCCUGCUUCCAGGAAAAGCCUCUAAGCAUCAGGUAACAUUGAAUCGUACCCCAAACCGACACAGGUGGUCAGGUAGAGAAUACCAAGGCGCUUGAGAGAACUCGGGUGAAGGAACUAGGCAAAAUGGUGCCGUAACUUCGGGAGAAGGCACGCUGGUGUGUAGGUGAAGUCCCUGCGGAUGGAGCUGAGACCAGUCGAAGAUACCAGCUGGCUGCAACUGUUUAUUAAAAACACAGCACUGUGCAAACACGAAAGUGGACGUAUACGGUGUGACGCCUGCCCGGUGCCGGAAGGUUAAUUGAUGGGGUUAUCCGUAAGGAGAAGCUCUUGAUCGAAGCCCCGGUAAACGGCGGCCGUAACUAUAACGGUCCUAAGGUAGCGAAAUUCCUUGUCGGGUAAGUUCCGACCUGCACGAAUGGCGUAAUGAUGGCCAGGCUGUCUCCACCCGAGACUCAGUGAAAUUGAACUCGCUGUGAAGAUGCAGUGUACCCGCGGCAAGACGGAAAGACCCCGUGAACCUUUACUAUAGCUUGACACUGAACAUUGAGCCUUGAUGUGUAGGAUAGGUGGGAGGCUUUGAAGCGUGGACGCCAGUCUGCGUGGAGCCAACCUUGAAAUACCACCCUUUAAUGUUUGAUGUUCUAACGUUGGCCCCUGACCGGGGUUGCGGACAGUGUCUGGUGGGUAGUUUGACUGGGGCGGUCUCCUCCCAAAGCGUAACGGAGGAGCACGAAGGUUAGCUAAUCCUGGUCGGACAUCAGGAGGUUAGUGCAAUGGCAUAAGCUAGCUUGACUGCGAGCGUGACGGCGCGAGCAGGUGCGAAAGCAGGUCAUAGUGAUCCGGUGGUUCUGAAUGGAAGGGCCAUCGCUCAACGGAUAAAAGGUACUCCGGGGAUAACAGGCUGAUACCGCCCAAGAGUUCAUAUCGACGGCGGUGUUUGGCACCUCGAUGUCGGCUCAUCACAUCCUGGGGCUGAAGUAGGUCCCAAGGGUAUGGCUGUUCGCCAUUUAAAGUGGUACGCGAGCUGGGUUUAGAACGUCGUGAGACAGUUCGGUCCCUAUCUGCCGUGGGCGCUGGAGAAUUGAGGGGGGCUGCUCCUAGUACGAGAGGACCGGAGUGGACGCAUCACUGGUGUUCGGGUUGUCAUGCCAAUGGCACUGCCCGGUAGCUAAAUGCGGAAGAGAUAAGUGCUGAAAGCAUCUAAGCACGAAACUUGCCCCGAGAUGAGUUCUCCCUGAGACUUUAAGUCUCCUGAAGGAACGUUGAAGACGACGACGUUGAUAGGCCGGGUGUGUAAGCGCAGCGAUGCGUUGAGCUAACCGGUACUAAUGAACCGUGAGGCUUAACCUU
rnacentral:rRNA from 1 species